rnacentral:rRNA from 1 species
GCAGCAGCCGCGGUAAUACAGAGGGUGCGAGCGUUAAUCGGAUUUACUGGGCGUAAAGCGUGCGUAGGCGGCUUCUUAAGUCGGAUGUGAAAUCCCUGAGCUUAACUUAGGAAUUGCAUUCGAUACUGGGAAGCUAGAGUAUGGGAGAGGAUGGUAGAAUUCCAGGUGUAGCGGUGAAAUGCGUAGAGAUCUGGAGGAAUACCGAUGGCGAAGGCAGCCAUCUGGCCUAAUACUGACGCUGAGGUACGAAAGCAUGGGGAGCAAACAGGAUUAGAUACCCGUGUAGUCCCUGUCUCUUAUAC